rnacentral:rRNA from 1 species
GUGGAUUAGAUACCCUGGUAGUCCUGGCAGUAAACGGUGCACGUUUGGUGUGGGAGGAUUCGACCCCUUCCGCGCCGGAGCUAACGCGUUAAACGUGCCGCCUGGGGAGUACGGUCGCAAGAUUAAAACUCAAAGAAAUUGACGGGGGCCCGCACAAGCGGUGGAGUAUGUGGCUUAAUUCGAUGCAACGCGAAGAACCUUACCAGGCCUUGACAUGCAUUUCUAAGCGGGUGAAAGCCCGUGACUCCCGAAAGGGAGAACUUGCACAGGUGCUGCAUGGCCGUCGACAACU